rnacentral:rRNA from 1 species
UCAGUCGACUCCUACGGGGAGGCAGCAGUGGGGAAUAUUGCACAAUGGGGGAAACCCUGAUGCAGCCAUGCCGCGUGUGUGAAGAAGGCCUUCGGGUUGUAAAGCACUUUCAGUAAGGAGGAAGGUAGUGUAGUUAACACCUGCACUAUUUGACGUUACCUACAGAAGAAGCACCGGCUAACUCCGUGCCAGCAGCCGCGGUAAUACGGAGGGUGCGAGCGUUAAUCGGAAUUACUGGGCGUAAAGCGCAUGCAGGCGGCCUGUUAAGUCAGAUGUGAAAGCCCGGGGCUUAACCUCGGAAUUGCAUUUGAAACUGGCAGGCUAGAGUCUUGUAGAGGGGGGUAGGAAUUUCAGGUGUAGCGGUGAAAUGCGUAGAGAUCUGAAGGAAUACCAGUGGCGAAGGCGGCCCCCUGGACAAAGACUGACGCUCAGAUGCGAAAGCGUGGGGAGCAAACAGGAUUAGAUACCCUGGUAG